GACAUUUAAGCGUUGCGACUGUCA
rnacentral:siRNA from 1 species